CCUACGGGGGGCAGCAGUGGGGAAUAUUGGACAAUGGGGGCAACCCUGAUCCAGCCAUGCCGCGUGUGUGAAGAAGGCCCUCGGGUUGUAAAGCACUUUCAGUGAGGAAGAACGCCUGGUGGUUAAUACCCAUCAGGAAAGACAUCACUCACAGAAGAAGCACCGGCUAACUCCGUGCCAGCAGCCGCGGUAAUACGGAGGGUGCGAGCGUUAAUCGGAAUUACUGGGCGUAAAGCGCGCGUAGGUGGCUUGAUAAGCCGGUUGUGAAAGCCCCGGGCUCAACCUGGGAACGGCAUCCGGAACUGUCAAGCUAGAGUGCAGGAGAGGAAGGUAGAAUUCCCGGUGUAGCGGUGAAAUGCGUGGAGAUCGGGAGGAAUACCAGUGGCGAAGGCGGCCUUCUGGACUGACACUGACACUGAGGUGCGAAAGCGUGGGUAGCAAACAGGAUUAGAUACCCUGGUAGUC
rnacentral:rRNA from 1 species